rnacentral:rRNA from 1 species
UACGGAGGUUCCAAGCGUUGUUCGGAAUUACUGGGCGUAAAGGGAGCGCAGGCGGGCAAGUCAGUCUGAAGUGAAAUCCCGGGGCUCAACCUCGGACUUGCUUCGGAUACUGCUUGUCUUGAGUUCGUGAUAGGAAGACGGAAUUCAGGGUGUAGCGGUGAAAUGCACAGAUAUCCUGAGGAACACCGGUGGCGAAAGCGGUCUUCUGGCGCGAAACUGACGCUGAGGCUCGAAAGCGUGGGUAGCAAACGGG